GCCAUCGUAGGCCAUGGCGGCCACCUCCCAAAAAUGCAAGGGCAAUCCAUUUGGUUCUUCUAAGGAGGAAAACGGAGGUUCGAAUCCUCCCGAUGGCA